UAAUAGCUCACUAGUCGAGAGGUCCUGCGCCGAAAAUGUCCGGGGCUGAAACACACUGCCGAAGCUCAGGGAUGAACAGUGAUCAAUACAGAUCAAUGCAAGAGGAAAGCUUCUUGAUGAAAUCAAGAAGAUUCCAAAACAGAUGAAACAGACUGCUGUUGGUCUGCGUUGAUCACUGUUCAUCGGUAGAGGAGCAUUCUUAAAGAGACGAAGCUGUACCGAAAGGAGCAGUGGAUUUUUAAGAAGAGAGAAUGCCGGAAUGAGUAGCGAGAAAGAGGUGAGAAUCCUCUUGGCCGAAUAUCUAAGGUUUCCAGGGUAAAGCUGAUCUGCCCUGGGUAAGUCGGGGCCUAAGGCGAGGUCGAAAGACGUAGUCGAUGGAUAACAGGUUGAAAUUCCUGUACUAUCCUGUAACAGAACUGUGGGGACGCAGACAGAGAGCACAAGCCGGGAAUGGAAAGACCGGUGCAAGCGAGGUAGGAGUACAUCAGGCAAAUCCGGUGUGCAAUCCGAAGACGUGAUGCGGAUCGAAAAGAAGUAGAGAAGUGUGUGAGCUGGCUGCCAAGAAAAGCCGCUAUUGUUUACAGGAUACCCGUACCGUAAACCGACACAGGUGGAUGAGGAGAGAAUCCUAAGGCCGACGGGAGAAGCAUUGUUAAGGAACUCGGCAAAAUGACUCCGUAACUUCGGGAGAAGGAGUGCCAUGCGAAUGGCCGCAGAGAAUUGGCCCAAGCAACUGUUUAGCAAAAACACAGGUCUAUGCGAAACCGAAAGGUGAGGUAUAUGGGCUGACGCCUGCCCGGUGCUGGAAGGUUAAGGGGAGAGGUUAGCGCAAGCGAAGCUUUGAACUUAAGCCCCAGUAAACGGCGGCCGUAACUAUAACGGUCCUAAGGUAGCGAAAUUCCUUGUCGGGUAAGUUCCGACCCGCACGAAAGGCGUAAUGAUUUGGGCACUGUCUCAACAAUGCACCCGGUGAAAUUGAAAUACCAGUGAAGAUGCUGGUUACCUGCGCCAGGACGGAAAGACCCCAUGGAGCUUUACUCCAGCUUGAUACUGGGAUUCGAUAUUGCAUGUACAGGAUAGGUGGGAGACUAGGAAGCGGUGACGCCAGUUGCCGCAGAGUCACUGUUGGGAUACCACCCUUGCAGUAUUGGAUUUCUAACCAGCAGCCGUGAACCGGCUGGGGGACAAUGUCAGGUGGGGAGUUUGACUGGGGCGGUCGCCUCCGAAAGGGUAUCGGAGGCGCUCAAAGGUUCCCUCAGAAUGGUUGGAAACCAUUCGAAGAGUGCAAAGGCAGAAGGGAGCUUGACUGCGACACCGACGGGUGGAGCAGGUACGAAAGUAGGACUUAGUGAUCCGGUGGUAUAAAGUGGGAUUGCCAUCGCUCAACGGAUAAAAGCUACCCUGGGGAUAACAGGCUUAUCACUCCCAAGAGUUCACAUCGACGGAGUGGUUUGGCACCUCGAUGUCGGCUCAUCGCAUCCUGGGGCUGAAGUAGGUCCCAAG
rnacentral:rRNA from 1 species